rnacentral:rRNA from 1 species
UACGUAGGUGGCGAGCGUGUCCGGAUUAUUGGGCGUAAAGAGCUCGUAGGCGGCCUGUUACGUCUGCUGUGAAAUCCCGGGGCUUAACCCCGGGCGUGCAGUGGAUACGGGCAGGCUGGAGGCAGGCAGGGGAGAACGGAAUUCCCGGUGUAGCGGUGAAAUGCGCAGAUAUCAGGAGGAACACCGACGGCGAAGGCAGGUCUCUGGGCCACUACUGACGCUGAGAAGCGAAAGCAUGGGGAGCGAACAGG